rnacentral:rRNA from 1 species
AUUGAACGCUGGCGGCAGGCCUAACACAUGCAAGUCGAGCGGAUGAAGGGAGCUUGCUCCUGGAUUCAGCGGCGGACGGGUGAGUAAUGCCUAGGAAUCUGCCUGGUAGUGGGGGAUAACGUCCGGAAACGGGCGCUAAUACCGCAUACGUCCUGAGGGAGAAAGUGGGGGAUCUUCGGACCUCACGCUAUCAGAUGAGCCUAGGUCGGAUUAGCUAGUUGGUGGGGUAAAGGCCUACCAAGGCGACGAUCCGUAACUGGUCUGAGAGGAUGAUCAGUCACACUGAAACUGAGACACGGUCCAGACUCCUACGGGAGGCAGCAGUGGGGAAUAUUGGACAAUGGGCGAAAGCCUGAUCCAGCCAUGCCGCGUGUGUGAAGAAGGUCUUCGGAUUGUAAAGCACUUUAAGUUGGGAGGAAGGGAAGUAAGUUAAUACCUUGCUGUUUUGACGUUACCAACAGAAUAAGCACCGGCUAACUUCGUG